rnacentral:lncRNA from 1 species
UAAGGUUCAAAACGAAAUAAUCAUAACAUGAGAGUGGGGUAUAGAAUACCCAAAACAACUGUAAUAAUAUCUGAAGUCUGAACAUACUAGUCUGGAAAAGCCUCUAACAUGACUGUCUAAAUAGGGAGUUGAUGGGACAUGUCCCCAACUAACUCCGACUAGCAAAACUGAACUGAAAUAAACCAUAACAUAAGUAAUGAUCAUGCUCUCGAGAGACGAGGACUCACUGCUGGAACUCUGACAGGUAGGAUUCUACUGCUACUG